ensembl:snRNA U6 U6 spliceosomal RNA
GUACUUGCUUCUGUAGUACAUACACUAAAAUUGGAACAAUGCACGGAGGAUUAGCAUGGCCCCAGAGCAAGGGUGACAUGCAAAUUCAUGAAGCAUUUCAUAUUUUU